UGAAUCUUCAUUUGCGGUUGA
rnacentral:piRNA from 1 species